rnacentral:lncRNA from 1 species
UCGACCCCAAGCCCCACGCCUCCCUCUCCUUCUCCAGUUCUCGUCCUCCCAUAACCUCUCUCUCCUUUCCAUCCAGCUGGACCUCCAUGGCCGCCGAAGGAGGUCGCCGUCGUGGCAUGGGGACUCUCCCAAACCGUUGGGAACUGAUGGAUCCUACACGUGCCAUCGCAGAUCUGGCUCCCUCCUCUUCCUCGCAUUGCUGGAGACCCGUUGCUUUGCGCCUCCGCCAUGUUCUCGUUUGUUGCAGUGCAN